CUUGUGCCGAAGCACACGGCGCGCGAUGGCGGACCGCGUGGGCUCUUUAAAACACGGCAAAAAAUAACUGCCAAUACGGCAAACGCUCUGGCUGCAUAACUAUGCAGUCACCUGUCUAUAAAGGAGGUCCCUGCUCCUUAUAGAACAGGUCGGCAAACAGGGAGUCCUUUUCAGGGUUUACCUUUUUCCCUGGAAGGGAUUACCAAAAAGGUUGCGGAAAAUAUGCGGUGUCUGGAGCCGUCUAUUUUCCUAAGAUAAAACUCCGGGCUACACAGGUAGAUGCCUUAUCAAUGCCCUUUCUGGACGCGGGGGCAGUACCCGCCGCCUCCACUA
rnacentral:tmRNA from 1 species